CGGUAUGAGGUGGUGCUGCCUCAGCGCCUGCCGGGACCCCGAGCCCGUCGAGCUCUGCCCUCCCACUCGGUGAGUCUAAGCUGGACUGAGGGGUCCCUGGCUGGCCCCUGAGUCUAUUUCUGUGAAAGAGGCUUUAGCUUCUAGGAGGUGGUAAGAGGCCAGGUGGGCAUCUGGGGCUGCCUAUCUCCUCCAUUGCUGCCUGGGGGCUCACAGCCUCCUGUUCCUUCAGGAACCCUUUGGGCCCCUGGAAGGCAGCAGGGGCAGAUUGUGCUGGCCCUGGCCCCGCCCCAGUUUCACUUGGCAAGUCUGAUAAGCCAAAUUCCUCUUUGAGAAGUGAGCUGGCUCACCGCAGCGUUGGCACACCUUCCUGUGUGAGGCCUGGCGGGGCUCCCUGGGGCUGGGGAACUGAGAGUGGCCACCCCACCUUCGGGGCUGACCCAGGGUGAUUCCUGAAACCUGAGUGGGGGGUGUGCCCACAUGUGCACUGCAUGCAUGCGGGAGCCUGUUUCCAGGGAGGGCAGCUCCGGCCCCAGCCCUGUCCUCACCUCACCUGCCCCCUGCCCUGGGAUCUCGUCAGCCAGGGGCACAGCUCAGGCUGUUUGGGGGGCUCAGCAGGCCAAGUCCCAGCCUGCACAUGGGGGCUGGAGACACAGUGGGUGAGGAGUAGGCUCUUCGGGCACUGCCAGGUCUGGCAGCUGCUGGGAGGGACAGGGCUGGAGGCAGGCGGCUGCCAUUGGAGGGUCCUGUGCCUGCCGUCCCGCCCUCCACCUCCUUUGCUGCCUGGCCAAGGCUUGGGGAAGGGGCACUGUCAUUACCCAGGCAUGGUCAGAUGGGGAAACUGAGGUGUGAGGUGCCCCAUGUCCUUCCUGUCACGCAAGUGCUGUGCUCCACCUGUCCCUUCCAGCACAGCCCCGCCCCACCCCCACCCGCCCUCCACUUCCACCCUCUACCCUGCCUGAGGCUGUGGACACCCAAAGAUGGAGCCUUGGCCUGGGGCUGGAGGCCAGCUCCCCUUCCCCACCCAGCUGAGCUUCUCUGGCGCCCAGGAUUGAGGUGGGUGCAGCCCGGGCAGGCUGCUCACCCAAGCCCCCCUCUCCAGGGCCUGUACCCAGAGAGGGUGAGCUAUGUCCUUGCGGCCACAGGGCACAGCUUCACCCUGCACCUGCGGAAGAACAGGGACCUGCUGGGCUCGGGCUACACAGAGACCUACACAGCUGCCAACGGCUCCGAGGUGACGGAGCAGCCACGCGGGCAGGACCUCUGCUUCUACCAGGGCCACGUGGAGGGGCACGCGGACUCGGCCGCCAGCAUCAGCACCUGUCUGGGCCUCAGGGGCUUCUUCCAGGUGGGCUCAGACCUGCACCUGAUCGAGCCCCUGGAUGAAGGUGGCGAGGGCGGGCGGCACGCCCUGUACCCGGCUGAGCAGCUGCUGCAGACGGCCGGGACCUGCGGAGUCACCAACGACACCCUGGGCAGGCUCCUGGGGCCCCGGACAGCCGCCGUGUUCAGAUCUCGGCCCGGGGGCCCUCCGUCGCUCCGAGACACCCGCUACGUGGAGCUGUACGUGGUCGCGGAUAAUGCGGAGUUCCAGCAGGUGGGGAGCGGAGCUGCUCUGCGCCAUCGGGUGCUGGAGGUGGUGAACCACGUGGACAAGUUAUAUCAGAAACUCAACAUCCGUGUGGUCCUGGUGGGCCUGGAGAUCUGGAAUGACCAGGACAAGUUCCAGGUCAGCCCCGACUUCAGCGUCACACUGGAGAACCUCCUGGCCUGGCGGGCGCGGGGUCUGGCACAGCGGCACCCACACGACAACGUGCAGCUCAUCACGGCCGUGGACUUCACCGGGGACACCGUGGGGUUUGCCAAGGUGUCCGCCAUGUGCUCCCACAGCUCGGGGGCUGUGAAUCAGGACCACAGCAAGAACCCCGUGGGCGUGGCCUGCACCAUGGCCCACGAGAUGGGCCACAACCUGGGCAUGGACCACGAUGAGCAGGUCAACGGCUGCCACUGCCGGGAGCCCUCCCAGGACACCCGCUGCAUCAUGGCAGGCAGAAUUAGCUCCGGGUUCCCCAGGAUGUUCAGUGACUGCAGCCAGACCUACCUGGAGAGCUUUCUGGAGCAGCCGCAGUCCGCCUGCCUGGCCGACGCCCCCGACCUCAGCCUCCUGGUGGGCGGCCCAGUGUGCGGGAACCUGUUUGUGGAGCGUGGGGAGCAGUGUGACUGCGGCCCCCCCGAGGAAUGCCGGAACCGCUGCUGCAACUCCACCACCUGCCAGCUGGUCCAGGGGGCACAGUGUGCACAUGGCACCUGCUGCCAGGAGUGCCAGGUGAAGCCGGCUGGUGAGCUGUGCCGCCCCCAGAAGGACACAUGUGACCUCGAGGAGUUCUGUGAUGGCCGGCACCCCGAGUGCCCGGAAGAUGCCUUCCAGGAGAACGGCGCACCCUGCUUCGGGGGCUACUGCUACAACGGGACCUGCCCCACCCUGGCCCAGCGGUGCCAGGCCUUGUGGGGGCCAGGUGGGCAUGCUGCCAAGGAGUCCUGCUUCUUCUACGACGUCUCACCAAACUGCAGGAGCAGCUGGAACAGGGCCGACAUGUGUGGCACUCUGCAAUGUCAGGGCGGGCAGCUCCCCGCGGGGCGCAGCUCCUGCACCCUGAAUGACAUAUGCCGUGCGCUUACCACAGAGGGUGGUGCUGCCUAUGAGCCAGUGCCCGAAGGCACCCGAUGCGGACCGGAGAAGGUUUGCUGGAAAGGACGUUGCCAAGACUUCCACGUUUACAGAUCCAGAAACUGCUCCGCCCGGUGCCACAACCACGGGGUGUGCAACCACAAGCAGGAGUGCCACUGCCACGUGGGCUGGGCCCCACCCGACUGCGCGAAGCUGCUGACUGAGGCGCACACAGCAUCCGAGAGCCUGCCCGUGGUCCUGGUGGUGGUCCUGGUGCUCUUGGCAGUUGUGCUGGUCACCCUCGUAGGCGGUGCCAUCUACCGCAAAGCCCGGAGCCGCGUCCAGAGCAGGAGCACGGCCCCCAAGACCACCAUGGGACGCUCCAACCCCCUGUUCCAUCAGGCAUCCAGCAGUGCGCUGGCCAAGGGCGGGGCUCCAGCCCCAACGAGGGUCCCCCACGAGCAGGUCCCCACCACUCACCUGGGCCAGCCUGCUGGACACCCGGCCUCCUCCAUGGCCCAGAAGAGGCCGCCCCCUGCUCCUCCAGCUGCUGUGUCCAGCACCCCCUUCCCAGUUCCUGUCUAUAACCAGAUGGCGCCAAAGCGGGUAAGCAGCGUGACUGGGCAGUGAACCCGUCGGAGGGCGUCCAGGCCUUGCUGAUGGGAUUGGGGUCCCUGCACUGUACCGGGGUCAGGGACCUCCCAGGCGGCCCCCGCUGUGCACAGAAGGCUGGUUAGCUCGGCCUCAUGAGGACAUCAGAGUGAAAGGAAGGUCAGGAAGGCCGUGGGGAGGCAGCAGCUCCGUCUCACCCUGCACUGGGGCUGGUUUGGGGGUCCUGGCUCCUCCUUCAGUUCAGACUGUUCCGCUCACCAAGCCCCUCCCAGAGCUGAAGUUCCAGCAGAUCUGAGGGUCCCUGGGCCCUGCAGGACAGAUGGGUGGGCGGGCUCAGGCUUGCCCUGUUGCAACGCUUCCCCUAGCUUUGUGGGUUUUGAAAAGAUCUCUCAAAAACCUGGAUUGUCGUAUCGAGGGUUAACUCCCAGGCCUCCAUGUCACCCCAGGGUUGGGUCCUGCCCCUGUGCCCUGGCUCCCAUCUCUGCAAUAAACUUCGAGCCCUUUUUGGACCCUGUUGGGGCAGCUGGUUGGCCUCAGCCCUGGGGAACUGCUGUGGCCCUGGAGCACCCUUCCUGGGACCACUGGCUCAGCUAGGGCAGCAGAAAGGGCCGGGCUCUCUCUCUGGGGCCUGGCACGGGGUCCCAGUGGCACCAUCGAGGCCACUUGGCGUGGCUGGACAUUGUGAGCAGUCUCUGUUUUCAACGAGGGCAGGACUGUGGCAGGUAGGUGGGGGGCUCUGUGGUGCAUCUCCAGGGACCUCCUUCCACCGAGUUACAUGGUCAGCUUUAGGAUGGGGUUGUGCAGGGAAGACUGGGCCGUGAGACCUUGCUCUCUGGGUAGAGGCUUUUCUUUGGUUAACGUUUAAUUUUGAACAAAUUUUAGACUUAUGGAAAGAUUGCAAAAAUAACCUAGAGAAUCCUGCAUGCUCUUUGUCCAGCCUACUCCCAGGUCAGUGCCUGCAUGUCCAUGGGGCACCCACACAGCUGAGGGGCCACAUCAUAGUGCCACGCACCUGGUGCCACCCACAUGGUGCCCAUGUCACAGUGCCAUGCACCUGGUGCCACCCACAUGGUGCCCACGUCACAGUGCCACUGUGUGGUGCCACUCGUGGUCUCUGGAACCCUUCUCUGGCCGUGGUUCCCCCGGCACUGGGCCCCAGCCCCUCUGCCUUUCCUCAGCUGGGGUUUGUCCCAUGCUUUCCUCGUGUGGACGAAGGCAGGGUGCUGUGGGCAGGAGCAGCACUGGAGGCGUUUUUCCCAGGGCACGGCUCAGGCCUGGCCACCGGCGGUGUUGGUCACGGGUGAUGCUGACAUGGCGCCUGGCUGGGGCAGUGUCCAUGGAUUUUUCUCUAGAAACCCCGUUGUCUUUGAUAGUUAGCAGAUGCCUCGGGGAGGUACCUGAGACUCUAAACCUUGAACUUGGACCCACGAGCUCUGGGGAAUCUGUACCAGUUCUGUGCUGUUUGCCUAAUAGUGAUUUUCUAUUUCUCUCUUUCCUUUUUAACUUUUCAUUUGAACUAACUUCAGACUUAUACAUGAGUUGCAGAAAUAGUCCUAGAAGGGGUCUGGACAGGCAAAGCAGGGACCUGGGGGCAAAGAUUUCUGGCCACGGAAGUGAUGGUCGCCAGGCACGAAGGUCGUCAGGCCGACGUUCACACCCCCAGUGCCCCCAGUCAAACCCGGGGCAGGCACAGCCAA